GGUCCACAAUAACCCGUUUCUCCAUGUUCCCCGGCGCGUUAUCUCACGCGCCAAAUCCAACGGUUUUCUUCCGUUCCUCCACCGUAACGCCGUCGUCAUCAACAUCUUUUAAGUGCAACUACUCUAUUCGAUUAUCCAUGGCUUCCUCCGUCAGAAUAGUCGUUGUCGGAGACGUGCAUGAUGAUUGGGAUCUACCAGAGGAUUCGAAGGCUCUUGAGCUGUUGCAGCCAGAUUUGGUGUUGUUUACAGGUGACUUUGGCAAUGAAAACGUUGAACUUGUUAAAAGCAUUGCAGCACUCAAAAUGGCUAAAGCGGCUAUUCUAGGGAACCAUGAUGCUUGGAAUACUCAAAAUUUUUCUGAAAAGCGCAAAGACGCGGUCCAACUCCAGCUGGAAAGUUUUGGGGAAGAGCACGUUGGUUACAAGCGAUUGGACUUCCAUCCGUUGAAGCUCAGUGUUGUUGGAGGACGACCAUUUUCUUGUGGAGGUGAAAGGUUAUUUAGAAAACAACUCCUGGCUAAAAGAUAUGGAGUUAACAACAUGAACGAGAGUGCAAAAAGAAUAUCUGAUGCUGCUUUGGGGACACCAAAGAAUCAUUCCAUUAUUCUUCUUGCUCAUAAUGGGCCCACUGGUCUCGGUUCCAACUUGAAUGACAUUUGUGGGAGAGAUUGGGUGCGUGAAGGUGGAGACCAUGGUGACCCAGAUUUAGCACUUGCUAUUGCUCAACUUAAAGGCAACACCAAACAUUCUGUUCCCCUUGUUGUAUUUGGCCACAUGCAUAAAGAGCUGGCGUUUGGAAACGGUCCACGUAAAAUGAUUGUGGUUGGAGAUGACAACACCAUAUACCUAAACGGGGCCAUCGUUCCUCGGGUCAAAAGAUUCCACGACAACCCAUUGACCGAAAACCCAAAACACACGUUACGCGCCUUUACUUUAAUCGACUCAAAAGAAGGAAAACUAGAGAAAAUCGCAGAAACUUGGGUGUCGGUAAUUGGAGACAACACCAGUGUUGAAGAGGAACACAUACUAUUUAGUAGUAACAUGCUUAACACCUCUAAUGUAUAAGGUGAAGUUAACAUGAAAGUAGUGGUCCACCAUGACCCAGACAUGUUGAAAGGUGAUUGCAGGUCAAUUUUUUGUCACUGGAAGCAGCCUCUCUAUUCCUAUAAGAUAGAGGUAAGACUGUCUGCAUCUUACCCUCCUGAGAUCUUACCUUAGCUUUGCUAUCGGUGGGAUUUACUAAGUACGAUGAUCAUGAUUUGAUGUGUUAUAUUUUGUGAGAAUAGUUGUAUGCACAUGAUCUUGAUAUUUUUUUUUUCGGGUAUCUACCUUUACUUGCGUAUAAGGUGUACACAAAGGCGUUUUAGAGAUCAGUAAGGCGUGAAUCAUAUGCGACUACCCGUGUUUUUAGAUUAUGUAUCUUUAAAAAGUGAAUUUUAGUAAACUUUGAACAGAAGUUAAAAUCAAUAGAAUAGUUUUUCUAA